GAUAAACGCUGGCGGCGUGCCUAACACAUGCAAGUCGAACGAAGCAGUAGCAAUACUGACUGAGUGGCGGAAGGGUGAGUAACACGUAGGAAUCUACCUCAUCGGAGGGAACAACCAGUCGAAAGAUUGGCUAAUACCCAAAAGGAUUGGCGACAAUCAGAGUCGAAAGGCCUGGUGAGAGGAGCCUGCGGCCCAUCAGCUAGUUGGCAGGGUAAUGGCCUACCAAGGCAACGACGGGUAGGGGGUCUGAGAGGACGUCCCCCCAACUGGAACUGAAACACGGUCCAGACGCCUACGGGUGGCAGCAGUGAGGAAUAUUGGUCAAUGGGCGAAAGCCCGAACCAGCAACGCCGCGUGGAGGAUGAAGGUUUUCGGACUGUAAACUUCUUUUCGGGGAGACGAGAAAGGACGGUAUCCCCGGAAUAAGCCACGGCAAACUACGUG
rnacentral:rRNA from 1 species